rnacentral:tRNA from 1 species
GGUUGUGGCUCAGCGGUAGAGCACUUGCCUUGCACGUGUGAGCCACUGGGUUCGAUUCUCAGCACCA